CCUUGAAGGGUCGUUCGAGACCAGGACGUUGAUAGGUCAGGUGUGUAAGCGCAGUAAUGCGUUCAGCUAACUGAUACUAAUUGCCCGUAAGGCUUGAUCCUAUAACA
rnacentral:rRNA from 4 species